GGUGUAGCCCAGAAGAGAGUGAUGGCGGCGCCGCCCAAUGGACGCGUGGGUGGAAGGGCCCGAGCCUCCUCAUCCACCCCCUCCUUCCGCCCCCCACUUGUGCAUGCCUCUGCCCCCCCGGGCCGCGGAACUCUCCUGGGGCGACCCCGAGUCCCACCCCGCUGCUCCGUGCCGUCCUCGCAGCUCGAGCCCUCCUCCAGCCCAGCAGUGCUCCCGCAGCGUCUGGCCGCUGGUCGUCGGCAGACGAAAGGGCUUGAACCGCGGCUGACCUUAGCCUUUGUCCCUCGGCCUAGUUCCGCAGCUGCCGUCGAGGCCGCCAGCCCCUCCCCCAGCAUGUUUGGGCUAAGCCGCCUCCUUUCCGCCUGCGUUGGAGAGAGAGGUACCAGAAGGAAUGAAAGGACUGGGGCUUGUCUCCAUGGCAACUGAAAGAAAGAGAGAAAAAUUGGUCACCUCCAGGACUGAGACCCUGACCCUUCCAAGCAUCCCCACUACCAAAGGCUGCCCAAGCCCGGAAGGAUCCCAUCCCGUUCUGUACUCUGAGGUCACUUCCUCACUCCGUCAAAUUUCACUGGACUGUGGGCUAAUUAAAAGUGCCUCCGUAUUAGCGGGGCGUGGUGGCCCAUGCCUAUAAUCCCAGCUACUUGGGAAGCUGAGGCAGGAAAAUUGCUUGAACCCGGGUGGCGGAGGCUGCAGUGACCCAACAUUGUGCAACAAGAGCGAAACUCCGUCUCAAAAAAAAUAAAAAAUAAAAAAGAGUGCCUCCCUGGGGAGACUGUAAUGCCCACUGGGCAGUGAUCCUAAUGCCCCUUGGGCAGUGAUCCUUAUUCCCCUCUCCCAUAAUGAUUGGUUGUAGCAGGCUGAACAAAAAGGUUGAGCUUCGCUUGUGCUUGCUGAAUAGAAUUCUCACGCCCACUCCACGUUAGCUCCCCUCACUGUAGGACUAGCUCUGAAAAUUCUAGCUCCUGUAGGAAGCCAACACAGACGGAUCUACAAGAACCAAAAACAGCUAUAGCUACUCUUCUAAAUCUCAGUGCCUGACAUUGCCUCUCUUUCUGCCUCCUCUCUCCACCCCCCAAAAAAUGUGGUCCUCCUUGACCUGAGGGAGCUUCCGUCCAAGUCUGAGCUCUGAUCAUCCUGAAGAAUCAAAGUAUCAUCAUCCCUUGGCUGGCAAGAUGAACUCCAACAUCAAAACACUUGAAACAGUAGUAUUUUUACACAAUUUGCCCACUGCCUCUACAUCUCACUUAGUCCUUGCAGUAACAUUUGGAUGAUGAGGUAACUUAUCCAGAAGCACAAAGCCUAAAGAAUGACAGAGCUUGGACUCCUGAGAAGUUCAGCUACUGCCCGCCUUAUGAUAACCAAAAGAAAGCGGCCGGGCGCAGUGGCUCAACUCCUGUAAUCCCAGCACUUUGGGAGGCCGAGGCGUGCGAAUCACAAGGUCAGGAGUCCGAGACCAGCCUGGCCAACACAGGGAAACCCCGUCUCUACUAAAAAAAACAAACACAAAAAUUAGUUGGGCGUGGUGGUGGGCACCUGUAAUCCCAGCUACUUGGGAGGCUGAGGCAGGAGAGUCACUUGAAUCCGGUAGGCGGAGGUUGCAGUGAGCCGAGAUCGUGCCACUGCACUCCAGCCUGGGAGACAGUGAGACUCCGUCUCUAAAAAAAAAUGAAUAAAUAAAUAAGAAGGCACACCACAAGUUCGAGACCACUUCUACAAAAAAUAAAAAAUAAAAAAAAUUAGGCCAGGCACAGUGGCUCAUGCCUGUAAUCCAAGCACUUUGGGAGGCUGAGGCGGGCGGAUCACUGGAGGUCAGGAGUUUCAGACCAGCCUGGCCCAACAUGGUGAAACCCUGUCUCUACUAAAAAUACAAAACUUAGCUGGGCGUAGUGGUGCGUGCCUGUAAUCCCACUUACUCCAGAAGCUGAGGCAGAAGAACUGCUUGAACCUGGGAUGCAGAGGUUGCAGUGAGCUGAGAUUGCACCACUGCACUCCAGCCUGGGCAACAGAGUGGGACUCUGCCUCAAAAAAAAAAAAAAAAAGAAAAUGAAGAUGACCAAAUGGGCUUCUAGAUGGCUAAUGAUAUUCUGUUUCUUUGAUCUGGGUGGGGGUUACAUGGGUGUGUUCCCUUUGUAAUAUGUUAUCAAGACAUUUUGUGCACUUUUUUGGGUAUUAUACUGAAAGAAAACAUUUAUUUUUUAAAAAGUUGAAAAAUUGCCUUGGAGCAGAGUAAGGUAAAUCUAUGAUUAAGCUUAGAUUUUUUUAUUUUUUAUUUUUUAUUUUUUUUCAAAAAAAAUGAGGCCAGGCGCGGUGGCUCACGCCUGUAAUCCCAGCACGUUGGGAGGCCGAGGUGGGCAGAUCACGAGGUCAGGAGGUCGAGACCAUCCUGGCUAACACGGUGAAAUCCCAUCUCUACUAAAAAUACAAAAAAUUAGCCAGGCAUGGUGGCAGGCACCUGUAGUCCCAGCUACUCGGGAGGCUGAGGCAGGAGAAUGGCAUGAACCUGGGAGGCAGAGCUUGCAGUGAGCCAAGGUCACGCCACUGCACUCCAGCCUGGGUGACAGAGCAAGACUCGUCUCAAAAAAAAAAAAAAAAGUAAAAUGAACCUAACAAGAGGCAUCCUUUCUCUGUGGUUAUUAUAGUGAGAACUAAGUUCUUUAUCACUCUCCGGUUAUUUACCCCUAGAGAGAAGCCAACUUUCUGGUUGUAUACACCAGAAUAAGUACAAGAAUGGUAAGCAUAGAGCUUCAGAGAAACUAGCCAGAUUCUAAAGGAAUGACUUGAAAAUCGAGAGCCGUUUCAAUGACAAAACAUCAUACAAAAUAUUCAUCUACCACAUUAGAGGCCUAUCGCUAGGUAAAAACACCAAAACUUCAGCUUAAACAGUAGUAUGUAUGUAUGUAUUAUCCCAGUUUCUGUGAGUCAGGAAUUCAGGAUUGAUAAGCUGGGUGGUUCUUGUUCAGAAUCUUUCAAGAGGUUGCAGUCCUCUGAAAGUGUAGUGGGUUGGGGUAUCCACUUCCAAGGUGGCUUGCUCAUAUGGCUGGCAAGUUGGUGCUGGCUGUUGGCAGGAGGCCUCAGCUCACAAUGCAGGCUUUCAUAGGACUACGUGAGUGUCCUUUCAACAUGGCAGCAGGCCUUCCCUAGAGCUAGUGAAGGAUGAGAAAACGACAAAUCGCAAUGUCUUUUAUGACCUAGGCUGGGAAGUUAUACUCCAUCAUUUAUGCAAUAUCCUGUUAUCACACAGGUCAUCCCUAUUCAGUGUAGGUUGGUACUACACAAGGACAUGAAUAUCAGGAGGAAGAGAAUCUCUGGAGGCCAUCUUGGAGCCCAUAGUCCGCCUUCUGCCCCCUAAUGAUUCACGUCUUCGUCUGUUCCUGCUCUCUAAGAGCCAGGAGGCAGACUUCCCUUGAGCUUUCUUGCAGCUAAAGUAGAGCAUCAUUAGCAGUAAAAAUUAAGAUAUCAUCACAAAGGCCAGGCACAGUGGCUCACGCCUGUAAUCCCAACACUUUGGGAGGCCAAGGUGGGCGGAUCACCUGAGGUCAGGAGUUCGAGACAUGCCUGGCCAACAUGGUGAAACCCUGUCUUCACUAAAAAUACAAAAAUUAACCUGGUGUGUUGGCGGGCACCUCUAAUCCCAGCUACUUAGGAGGCUGAGCCAGGAGAAUCACUUGAAACCAGAGGCGGACGUUGUAGUGAGCCAAGAUGGCACCACUGAACUUGAGCCUGGGUGACAGAGCAAGACUCCAUCUCAAAAAAAAAAAAAAAAAAGACAUCACAAGAUUGCCAGGCACAGAGGCUUAAACACCAAGUUCUUUCUCAUGUCAUCGUGUUUCGUCGGUGCCGAGGACAUGAGGGGUGUAGAUCAGGCCUGUUUCAAACACAAGGCCUUUUGGCCAGAGUGUAAUGGUGUGAGGACUUGGGAAGACCUUACCUACUUAACUGUCUCUCUCAAAGGACAAAGGUAUGAGGGGGUUAAAAAAAAAAAAAAAAAGGCAAAGCUAUGAAGAACAUGAAGUUCUUAAGCCCCUAGACACUCUUCCAAGGUCUGGCCUGUAUCCCAGAGUCCACUGCUGAAAAGGGGCAGAGAUGUGUGUUAUAUGCGCACAUACGUACGCAUAGUAUAGCUAGCAUAUGGCAUUCUGGUGGCCUCGACGGAGCUCACAGGCAAUAUAACAGCAUUGACUGCUUUCACAGUUUCCACUUGUCUCAGGAAAAUAGAGAAAAUUCAAGAUGAAAUACAGUGAGUUUAGGACAACUCAGUUUCCUAAAUAUGGAAGAUCCUGUCCCUUCCCAAGUAUUGAAAGAGAUGAAAAUUUUCCCUUAGUUUUCAAGCUCAAAGUCUAUCUUAUCUUUGACUAAAUAGCCCUGAUUUGGAUACUGUUAACUUGCUCUUAACUACUAAUAGUCUAGUGCUUUUACUUUAUUUUAUUUUAUUUAUUUUCUUUGAGACGGAGUCUCUGUUGCCCAGGCUGGAGUGCAAUGGCACUAUCUCGGCUCACUGCAACCUCCACCUCCUGGGUUCAAGCGAUUCUCCUUACUGAGCCUCCCGAGUAGCUGGGAGUACAGGCGCACACCACCAUGCCUGGCUAAUUUUUGUACUUUUAGUAGAGAUGGAGUUUUGCUACGUUGGCCAGGGUGGUCUCGAACUCCAACUCAGGUGAUCCACCCACCUUGGCCUCCCAAAGUGCUGGAAUUACAGGGAUGAGCCACUGCACACAGCCUAUUUGUUUUUUAAGAGACGUGAUCUCGGGACCAGGCAUGAUGGCCCUUGCUUAAUCCCAGCACUUUGGGAGGCCAAGGCAGGCGGAUCACAUGAGUCCAGGAGUUAGAGACCAGCCUGGGCAAUGUGGCAAAACCCCAUCUCUACAAAAAUACAAAAAUUAGCCAGGCGUGGUGGCACAUGCCUGUGGUCCCAGCUACUCAGGAGGCUGAGGUGGGAGGAUCGCCUGAACCAGGGAGGUGGAGGUUGCAGUGAACCAAGAUCGCACCACUGCACUCAGCCUGGACCACAGAGCGAGACACUGUCUCAAAAAAAAAAAAAGGAUCUCACUCUCACCGAGUCACAUUUCAAGUAGUCAAUAGCCACAAGUACCAGGCACGGUGGCUCACGCCUGUAAUCCCAGCACUUUGGGAGGCCGAGGCGGGCAGAUCACGAGGUCAGGGGAUCGAGACCAUCCUGGCUAACAUGGUGAAACCCCGUCUCUACUAAAAAUACAAAAAAUUAGCCGGGCAUGGUGGCGGGCGCCUGUAGACCCAGCUGCUUGGGAGGCUGAGGCAGGAGAAUGGCGUGAACCUAGGAGGCGGAGCUUGCAGUGAGCCGAGAUCGCGCCACUGCACUCCAGCCUGGGCGACAGAGCAAGACUCCGUCUCAAAAAAAAAAAAAAGAAAAAAAUAAAUAGCCACAGGUGUCUAGUGGCUAUCACAAACAGAAAGCUCUAAUUAGUAAUUUAUUUCAAUGGCCUCCUAAGAGUUUGUUCUGCCUCUAGUCUCUACUCUCCAGGCCCACAGCUCCCAGGGUAAUCUUAUUAAAGCAUUCUCCUGUUUAUAAUCUCGCCUAUGUUAAAAAGGUUAUGGUGGCUUCUUUGCCUACAGAAUGAAGUUCAAACAACUUGACAUCCAAGGAGCUCCACCAUUUGGUAUCUUCCCACUUUUUCUUUUUCUUUUUUUUUUUUUUUUUUUUGAGAUGGAGUCUCACUCUGUCACCCAAGCUGGAGUGCGGUGGCACAAUCUCGGCUCACUGCAAGCUCCACCUCCCGGGUUCAUGCCAUUCUCCUGCCUCAGCCUCCGGAGUAGCUGGGACUACAGGCGCCUGCCACCACACUGGGCUAAUUUUUUGUAUUUUUUUAGUAGAGACGGGGUUUCACCGUGUUAGCCAGGAUGGUCUCGAUCUCCUGACCUCAUGAUCCGCCCGCCUCAGCCUCCCAAAGUGCUGGGAUUACAGGCGUGAGCCACCGCGCCCAGCAUCUUCCCACUUUUUCUCAUUGCUUUAUUAUGCUUGCAUAACUGUUCUAACAAAACAAAUCUCACAAUUCUCUAGAUAAGCCUUAUUCUUACCCAGCUUUGGCUCAUCCUUCAUCUCUACAUCUUUUUUUUUUUUUUCUUUUGAAACGGAGUUUUGCUCUUGUUGCCCAGGCUGGAAUGCAAUGGUGCUAUCUCAGCUCACCGCAACCUCUGCCUCCUGGGUUCAAGCGAUUCUCCUGCCUCAGCCUCCCAAGUAGCUGGGAUUACAGGGAUGCACCACCACACCCAGCUAAUUUUUGUAUUUUUAGUAGAGAUGGGGUUUCUCCACGUUGGUCAGGCUGGUCUUGAACUCCCGACCACAGGUGAUCUGCCUGCCUCAGCCUCCCAAAGGGCAUCUCUACAUCUCUACAUAAAAUUCCUUCCCGCCACAUUUCUGCUUAUCAAAAUCCAAUCCAACUUCUAUGGCAUGGCCCAAAUGAUACCUCCUCCUUAAUGUCUUCAUUGAUUACCACAGUUCACUGUAAACCUGAUCUUUUUUUUUUUUUUUUUUUUUUUUUGGAGACAGAGUCUGUCUCUCCAUCGCCCAGGCUGGAGUGCACUGGCGCAAUCUCAGCUCACUCCAUCCUCCAUCUCCUGGGUUCAAGUGAUUCUCCUGCCUCAGCCUCCCAAGUAGCUGGGACUACAGGUGCAUGCCACCACACCCGGCUAAUUUUUGUAUUUUUUAGUAGAAACAGGGUUUCACCAGUCUGGUCUUGAACUCCUAACCUCAGGUGAUCCACCCACCUCAGCCUCCCACAGUGCUGGGAUUACAGGCAUGAGCCUCUGCACCCGGCCAACCCUGAUUUUUUUUUUUUUUUUGAGACAUAGUCUUGCUCUGUUGCCCAGGCUGGAGUGCAGUGGCACGAUCUCGGCUCACUGCAAGCCCCGCCACCCAGGUUCACGCCAUUCUCCUGCCUCAGCCUCCCGAGUAGCUGGGACUACAGGCGCCUGCCACCACGCCCGGCUAACUUUUUUUUGUAUAUUUAGUAGAGACGGGGUUUCACUGUGUUAGCCAGGAUGGUCUUGAUCUCCUGACCUCGUGAUCCGCCCGCCUCGGCCUCCCAAAGUGCUGGGAUUACAGGCGUGAGCCACCAUGCCUGGCCCUUUUUUUUUUUUUUUUGAGACAGGGUCUGGCUCAGUCACCCAAGGUGGAGUGCAGUGACGCAAUCAUGGCUCACUACAACCUCCACCUCCCCGGCUCAAGCAGUCCUCCCACCUCAGCCACUCAAGUAGCUGGGACUGCAGGUCCACACCACUAUACCUGGCUAAUUUUGUAUUUUUUGAAGAGGCAGGGUUUUACAACGUUGCCCAAGCUGGUCUGAAACUCCUGAGCUCAAGUGAUCCGCCCCCCUCAGCCUCCUAAAGUGCUGGGAUUAUGGUGUGAGCCACCUUGCCCAGCCUUAUGUCACUCUCAGUGGCAUUUCUCGUACUUCCUGGUCCUAAGAUUCUUGGUGUACACGUUGUAUAAUCCCAACUAGAUAUGAGAGCUAUCAGAUUAAGACUUUGCAUCUUUACAUCCCCCAGUACCUUUCAGAGUGUGAGUGCACACACACCAUUUGCUAAGGAAUGAUUGCAGUGACAAUACCAAGUUUAGGAUCCCUUAAAAUACCUAUAUCUUGGGCAGAGGUUGCAUUGAGCUGAGAUCAUGCCGCUACACUCAGCCUGGGUGACAGAGCGAGACUCCAUCUUCAAAAAAAAAAACAGUCCGGGUGUGGUGGCUCACGUCUGUAAUCCCAGCACAUUGGUAGGCCAAGGUGGGUGGAUCACAAGGUCAGGAGUUCAAGACCAGCCUGGCCAACUUGGUGAAACCCUGUCUCUACUAAAAAUACGAAAAAAAAUUAGCCGGGCAUGGCGGCGGGGCACCUGUAAUCCCAGCUACUCAGGAGGCUGAGGCAGAGAAUUGCUUGAACCUGGGAGACGGAGGUUGCAGUGAGCCGAGAUCACGCUACUGCACUCCAGCCUGGGCGAUAGAGCGAGAUUCUGUCUCAAAAAAAAAACUACAUCUUCAUAGUGGACAUAUUUGACAUCUACCCAACUUACAACCAUUCCUCCUAUAGAUCAUAGAUUAGGCCCCAACAGCCAUGUUUGUACCUCCUAAACCCCACCACCUUGGAAUAGAGACUUACUUCUCAAAGUGUGAUGCCACAUUCCUCGUGGGGUCAAAGAAGCAGAAAAAAUUGGUUUGCGGCCGGGCGCAGUGGCUCACGCCUGUAAUCCCAGCACUUUGGGAAGCCGAGGCAGACAGAUCACCUGAGGUCAGGAGUUCGAAACCAGCCUGGCCAACAUGGCAAAACCCCAUCUCUACUAAAAAUACAAAAAUUAGCUGGGUAUGGUGGAGGGAGCUACUCGGGAGGCUGAGGCAGGAGAAUUGCCUGAACCCAGGAGGCCAAGGUUGAAAUGAGCCGAGAUCGCACCGCUGCACUCCAGCCUGGGUGACAGUGCAAAACUGCAUCUCAAAAAAAAAAAAAAGUAGGUUUGCACAGAGCUCCAAGAGUGAACAGAUGAACAGAACAGAAAAAGCACUUUGCCAGCUCUCCCAGUCCUGCCUGUUUCUAUCCAUUCCCUAGGCUGAAUACAUUCCUGUCUGUGUUCCAUAUGUCUCCCCCCGCAACAUUAAAAUAAGUUUAUUAAGUCUCCCGCCCCAUAUUUUAAUCUAGCUUACAUUGUCUUCUGUUACUUGGAACCAAGAGUCUUUUUUUUUUUUUUUGAGACGGAGUCUUGCUCUUUCACCCAAACUGGAGUGCAGUGGCACAAUCUCGGCUCAAUACAAGCUCCGCCUCCUGGGUUCAUGCCAUUCUCCUGCCUCAGCCUCCUGAGUAGCUGGGACUACAGGCACCCGCCACCAUGCCCAGCUAAUUUUUGUUUGUUUGUUUGUUUUUAGUAGAGACAGGGUUUCACCGUGUUAGCCAGGAUGGUCUCGAUCUCCUGACCUUGUGAUCCACCCGCCUCGGCCUCCCAAAGUGCUGAGAUUACAGGCGUGAGCCACCGUGCCCAGCUGGAACCAAGAGUCUUAAUUAAACAAUCAUGAUGGAGACCAAGCCCACAUUUUUCAGGUCACCUAAUCCUGGCCUCUCCAUGAUCCAGUAACCUGAGUUACAGCUUUCCUACCAUAAGGACUUAGAGCUAAUUUCUUAAAGCCUGUAGUGGAGGCUGAGGCGAGAGGAUUGAUUGACACAAGGAGUUUGAGUCCAGCCUAGGCAACAUACCAAGACCCAGUCUCUUAAGUAAAUUUUUUAAAAAAUCAAUUUAGUUUCCAAAUGAGAUCAACAUAUUAACAUAUUAUAUUUGAUUGCUUUGCCUUUUUUUUUUUUUUUUGAGGUGGAGUUUCACUCUUGUUGCUCAGGCCGAAGUACAAUGGCACAAUCUCAGCUCACCACAACUUCCGCCUCCCAGGUUCAAGCGAUUCUUCUGCCUCAGCCUCCUGAGUAGCUGAGAUUACAGGCAUGCACCACCACACCUGGCUAAUUUUGUAUUUUUAUUACAGAUGGGUUUCUCCAUGUUGGCCAGGCUGAUCUCGAACUCCCGACCUCAGGUGAUCCGCCUGCCUCAGCCUCCCAAAGUGCUGGGAUUACAGGCAUGAGCCACCGCACCUGGCCCAGGUUUGAUUUCUUUAAAAGAAUUCUUCACAGGUGCUAUUUACCUUUUUAAACAUUAUUUUUCUAUUUUUGUUUUGUUUUUGAGACGGGGUCUCACCCUGUCACCCAAGCAAGAGUGCAGUGGUGCAGUCACAGCUUACUGCAGCCUCAAACCCCUGGGUUCAAGCAAUUCUCCCACUUCAGCCUCCCAAGUACCUGGAGGUACAGGUGUGCACCACCACGCCCAGCUAAUUUUUUUUUUUUUUUUUUUUUUAGAGACAAGGGUCUCACUAUGUUGCCCAGGCUGGUCUCAAACUCCUGGCCUCAAGCGAUCCUCCCACCUUGGCCUCCCAAAGUGGUUCCCACUUAUAAGUGAAAACAUUACAGGUGUGAGCCACCAUGUCUCACUAUUUACUUUUUAUUCAUCUCAUCAAGAGAAGAGAAAUUCAUAACAUUAACUACUUACGUUAGGGGCUACAGCCCCUACCGUAAUUUUCUAAUCAGGUAGUUUCUUCUAUGCUUGGUUAACUGGAAUUUGUGUGUGUGUGUGUGUGUGUGUGUGUGUGUGUGUGUGUGACAGAGUCUCACUCUGUCACCCAGGCUGGAGUGCAGUGACACGACCUCAGCUCACCGCAACUUCCUCCUCCCAGGUUCAAGCGAUUCUCCUGCCCCGGCUUCCCGAGUAGCUGGGAUUACGGCUGUGCACCACGACACCCAGCUACUUUUCUUUUGUAUUUUUAGUAGAGAUGGGGUUUCAACAUGUUGGCCAGUCUAGUCUCGAAAUCCUGACCUCAAGUGAUCCACCUGCCUGGCCUCCCAAAGUGCUGGGAUUAUAGGUGUGAGCCACCGCACCCAGCCUAACUGGAAUAUUUCUAUAAAGAAUCUUCCCUCAUCAACUCUUUGUUAUCCUGAAGUACCUCAACCUCAGCCUCCAGAGGAGCUGGAACUACUCAAAUAGAAAAGGCAGGAUCAAUUCUUUCCCUUUACUGACCAGUUUUCAGAAUGAGUUGGUUUCCUGGGGCAUCCUCUAGAGGUCAACAAUGAAUUCUUUUUAGUAUUAUCAUGAACUGGUGGCUUUUUUUUUUUUUUUUUGAGACGGUCUCACUCUGUUGCCCAGGCUGGAGUGCAGUGGUGCGAUCUCGGCUCACUGCAACCUCCGCCUUCUGGGUUCAAGCGAUUCUCCUGCCUCAGCCUCCUGAGUAACUGGGACUACAGGCAAGUGCCACCACGCCCAGCUAAUUUUUUCUAUUUUAGCAGAGAGGAGGUUUCACCAUGUUGCCCAGGGUGGUCUCGAACUCCUGAGCUCAUAGAAUCCACCCACUUUGGCUUCUCAAAGUGCUGGGAUUACAGGCGUGCGCCACCAUGCCUGGUGUUUUUUUUUUUUUUUUUUUUUUUUUUGAGACGGAGUCUCACACUGUUGCCGGGGCUGGUGUGCACUGGCGUGAUCUCGGCUCGCCACAACCUCCACCUCCCGGGUUCAAGCGAUUCUCCUUCCUCAGCCCCCUGAGUAGCUGGGACUACAGGCGCGUGCCACCACGUCUAGCUUAUUUUUGUUUUGUUUUGUUUUGUUUUUUUGAGGCAGAGUCUCUGUCGCCCAGGCUGGAGUGCAGUGACGCUAUGUCGGCUCACUGCAAGCUCCGCCUCCCAGGUUCACGCCAUUCUCCUGCCUCAGCCUCCCGAGUAGCUGGGACUACAGGCUACCUGCCACUAUGCCUGGCUAAUUUUUUUUUUUUUUUUUUUUUUUUUUUUAGUAGAGUCGGGGUUUCACCGUGUUAGCCAGGAUGGUCUCAAUCUCCUGACCUGGUGAUCCGCCCACCUCAGCCUCCUAAAGUGCUGGGAUUACAGGCAUGAGCCACCGCACCCGGACUGUAUUUUUUUUUUUAGUAGAGACGGGGUUUCACUAUGUUGGCCAGGCUGGUCUCAAACUCCUGACCUCGUGAUCCACCUGCCUUGGCCUCCCAAAGCACUGGGAUUACAGGCGUGAGCCACCGCGCCUGGCCAACUCAUGGAUUUUAAAAGCCUAUUUGAUGAGUUUCAGUCCACUGGAGUCAGGUCUUUUUUUUUUUUUUUUUGGAAGUGCUGUGAUCGUGACUCACUGCAACCUCUGCCUCCCAGGUUCAAGCGAUUCUCCUGCCUCAGCCUCCCGAGUAGCUGGGACUACAGGCGCGUACCACCAUGGCCAGCUAAUUUUUUUGUAUUUUUAGUAGAGACGGGGUUUCCCCAUGUUGGCCAGGAUGGUGUCGAUCUCCUGACAUAAUCCACCUGCCCCGGCCUCCCAAAGUGCUGGGAUUACAGGCAUGAGCCACCACCCAGCCCAAAGAUUCUAUAUUAUAUAUACAGUUUUCCACUUUUUUUUUCCUCUUAGCAAAACAUCAUGGAGUUCACUCCAUAGCAGUAUAGAGAUACUCAUUUCUAUUCACAGCUGCAUAGCACUCCAAUGUAGAUAUACCUUGGUUUAUUGCCAAUGUUCUGUAGAUGGACAUUGUCUGAGUUAUUUCCAGUCUUUUGCUAUUUACACAGUGGGCUAUAAUGACUAGCCUUGGACAUAUAUCUUUAUUUUUGCCAAUGUUAUCUUUGGCUUAGACUACUAGAAAUGGAAUUGCUGGGUCAAAAAACACAUGCAUAUGUCAUUUUGUAGGACAGAAUCAAAUUCCCCUCCUGAAGAGGCAGCUGCUAUAAUGGUGCUUCCAGUGGUUCCUACUUCUGGGUAAAUUGCCCCUUGACUGCAAUUUACAGAAGUGAUGGGAGUGGAUGCAGAGGCUCCUGCCUGUAAUCCUAGCACUUUGGGAGGCUGAGCCAGGAGGAUCACUUGAGCCCAGCAGUCUGAGACUAACAUAGGCAACACAGUGAGACCGCAUCUCUACUAAAAAUCAUGAAAGUUAGCCAGGCAUGGUAGCGUGUGCCUCUGGUCCCAGCAACUCAGGAGGCUGAGGUGGGAGGAUUGCUUGAGCCCAGGAGUUUGAGGCUGCAGUGAGACAUUCUACUCCACUCUACUCCAACCUGGGCGAUAGAGCAUGCCCUUGUCUUAAAAAAAAAAAAAAAAAAAAAAAACUGCUGGGAUGUCACUUUCAAGAUUAAGUACCAAAGGACUGUGACUUCUGUUUUGCUCUCAUACAUUCUCUGUCUGAGAGCUGGGAGCUUGUCUUUAAGUAGAAACCCACCCAUCCCCAGGGAGAAGGCAGGAGGGAAAAGGAGGAGAGGUCACAGACAAGCCCCCUGACUCUGUUGAUCUUCACUGCAGUAGCUUCUCAUUACAAGCAGGCAUCUGGCCAUUGUAGACCAUUAUAACUGUAGUUCUAGAAGUAAUAAUAGCAGAUUUAUUGUACAGAAGUGUCCACGGGCUCACAAUUCUAAGGACAUCAUCAUGACAGCAAGUAGGAAAAAAAAUUAAAGUAAUUCUUUCACCAAUUACCAGUUUAUCUCUUCUCCAAUUCCUUUGGAUACGCCUCCUGCAAGAAGCCGAUUUCCAGCUGUAUGUGAUAAUGAAAGGGUUUUUCUUUCUUAUGUUAAAUACAAGCGAAGUGAUUAACUGGAAGAUAGCGUCUGAUUGCGAGGAAAUCAGUGAUUCAGAUGGUGUGGGAAUGGCACCUGGGGAUGGGGGAGGCAGGACGGAGAUGGAGGAAGCUGGUGCAGCCUAGCCUGCCUUGUGCCAAGGACACCCAAGGGCAGAGGGACUGAGCUCUGGGGGAGGACAGAUUUGACAUAACUGGUCCAGCCUCACAGUUUACAGGUCCUGGAGGGUGAGGAAAGUGGGAGCUGGCUGCGGAUGCAGGACAAGAACCCAGGGCUUCCCUUCAUUUUGCCUGCCCUGCCACUUCCUCCCGCCACUUCCACCCUUCCUACCCCUCCACCUCCCUUGUGCCUUUCACUGCCUUUUACAGCAUUUACAUUACACUUCAGUAAAAAGUUGUGGUUUUGGCUGGUUUUUUUUUUUUUUAAAUAAAAACAGCACUGAAGAAGUAGAAGGAAGAUAUUCAGGGUUUUUAUUUUUAUUUUUUGAGUCUGGGUCUCGCUCUGUCACCCAGGCUGGAGUACAGUGGUGAGAUCAUAGCUUACUGUAGCCUCGACCUCCCGGGCUCAAAGAUCCUCACACCUCAGCCUUCCAAGUAGUUGGGACUACAGGCAUAUAUCAUCAUGCCUGGCUAAAUUAACUAUUUUAUUUUAAGAGAUGUGGUCUAGCUAUGUUACCCAGGCUGGUCUCGAACUCCUGGCUUCUAGCAAUCCUCCCACCUCAGUCUCCUGAAUCACUGGGAUUACAGGCUGGGGCCAUCAUGCCCAGCUCUAGGUUUUUAAAAUGUAGGCAAGGAGGUCAGCAUUUACACAAAAGCAGGGUUUGAUCUUAGGAAGCUUAAUAAAGAGAGGGGUCUAAUCAAGGUUUCCUGUAGGAUCUGGGCUUUAAGUUAGGCCUUAAAGAACGAAGAAUGUUUGUGGGUGUAGUAAGCAAUGACUUGGAGCAGAGCCCUCUAGCCAUUGGGCUCACCCUCACAGGCAGGCGCCACUGACCCUAGGGGGGUGUAGGCAGCUGGAGGAAGUACUGUGUGUCCCCCAUUCCAGCGAUGGUGGCCCCUCUCAGAGUCAAUACCCUUCCUUCCAAGAGACUGAACAUACAACUGGACAAUGGCCAGGCCACAUAUGACAAUAGACUCUGGCCAGAAACCCAUGACCAGCCUGGGAAGCCAAGGAAGCCAAACCACAGCCUCAGCAGCAAUCGGACCCAGAACAGUCUGAACUUAGUGGCUGCCAGCUUCUUCCCAAUCCCCAGCCACCACACCCCCUCUUCCAACUCCAGACCAACCAGAGAAAGCCAAAUAUACCCCCCCAACCAACCAAAGAUGCCCCUCCAGUUAGUCCGCUCUGUCCCCAUGCCAACAAUCUCCAAUCACAGCACACCCAGAGCCUUCCCUUUUUUUCCACUAUAACAUUUCACAGUCCCUGCCUGCCUUUGACCCCUGCCAAAUACAAGCAAUCAUGGCUGACUCCUUUGCAAACUUUGACCAAAUGGCCUCUCUGCUCUUGUUUAGGUGGUUUUUAUUUCCACAUCUCCAACAGGGAGUCUGGAAACAAACUGACAAUACUCGUGAAAUCAACACCCAGAUGAGGUAGACCAGCACUCCAGGAUGCCCCUCCCCAGUAUCCCUCCCCUGUUAACUGUUCCCCUGGCUUCUAACACCAUGGAUCAGUUUUGCUUAUUUCUGUACUUUUUGUAGGAAGAGAAUCAUACAAUGAAUUCUCUCUUGAUGAUGAGGACUCUGACCUCUUUUGCUUGACCUCAUGUCUGUGAAAUUUAUCCAUGUUGCUGUGCAUAGCGAUAUUUUCAUUCAUAUUCGUUGCUGUGCAGUAGUAUUCGACCCUGUGACUUCACUGUAGCUUCAACUGUGGAUGGACAUUUGGGUUGGUGGAUGGACAUUUGGGUUGUUUCAGGUUUGGGGCUACAGUCAGCGUGUGGUUAGAAACAUUCUUGCCAAUGUCUCGGUGGACAUAGCUUUCUGUGGUGUACAUACCCAGGAGUGGAACUGCUGGAUCAGUUUAUACGUAUGUUCGGCUUUUGGUAGAUACUGCCAGUUUUCCAACAGGGUCACACCAGCUUGGUCCAUUCAGGUUACAAUGAAACACCUUAGCCUGGGUAAUUUGUAAACAACAAAAAAUUAUUUCUCACAGUUCUAGAGGCUGGGAAGUCCAAGAUCAAGGUGCCAGCAGAUCCAGUGUCCAGGGCGGGCUCUCUGCUUCAGAGAUACGGUGCCUUCUCACUGCAUCCACACAUGGUAGAAGGGACAGAAGGGCUCCCUCAAGCCUGUUUUAUAAGGUGCUAACCCCAUUCAUGAUCUCCACCCUCAUGACCUAACCACCUCCCACAGGCCCCACAUCUUUAUUAUUUUUUUGAGAUGGAGUCUCGCUCUGUCACCCAGGCUGGAGUGCAGUGGCACGAUCUCGGCUCACUGAAAUCUCCACCUACUGGGUUCAAGCUAUUCUCCUGUCUCAGCCUCCCGAGUGGCUGAAAUUACAGAUGUACGCCAUCACACCUGGCUAAUUUUUGUAUUUUUAGUACAGAUGGGGUUUCACCAUGUUGGCCAGGCUGAUCUCAGACUCCUGGCUUCAAGUGAUCUGCCCCCUGCCAGCAUCCCAAAGUGCUGGGAUUACAGUCAUGAGCCACCAUACCCAGCCCCAAAGGCCCCACCUCUUAAUGCCAUUGCUUUGGGGGUUAGGAUUCAACAUAUGAAUUCAAAGGGUACACCUACAUUCACAACACAGCACUGACUUAGAUUCCCUGCAAAACCCAUGAGAGUUUCAUUUCCUCCAUAUUUUCAUCAGCAUUUCAUCUUGUCAGAUUUACUCUCUAUAGGUUCUAAGUAUUAUUCCCCCUCUGCUGAUUUACUUAUUAUAAACAGUACAUAACUGAUCAGAUAAACACUUGUCCCUUUGCCACCCCUAAUGCCUGCCCCCACUUCAUAUUCCAGGAACACUCCAUUAAACCACCCCCUACUGUACUGGUGGGUGGUGGGAGGGGGCUCAUCGGGUGGGGUCUUUGCCGUAUUAUUCUGUGUCACUGAGGCCUAUCACAGUGCUCUGCACAUGUAGGUGCAAAUAUCUGUUGUAUGAUUACAUAAAAGAAUGAUGUGAAAGCCUAUUUGUCUGUACCACAAUCAUGAACGUCCCCAACCACUUGAAGGCACUCAUAGUGUCUUAAUCAUCUUAGGCCUUCGAUCUGGCAUAGGUAACUCCUUUAAUAAACAAUGUCUGCUAAACCAAAUGGCUUCCUGAGGCCUGGCAUUUUAGGCUGUGUCCCCUGCCCCACCUCGCCCAGCCUGGGGCAUUGAGCCUGGCUGGGCACACACGUGAUAGUUGUAAUCAUAUUGUCAUAACAUCCCUGAGACUACAUUAAUUACAUAUUGAGUGUUAUAGUACUAUUAUAGCAGGUGGCAGAUGUUGGCACACUGGGCAGAGAUGUGUUGGUGUGAAAAACCUCUAUGUACUUUAAAGACAGGGUCUCCCUCUGUUGCCUAGGCUGAAGUGCAGUGGUGCCAUCAUAGCUCACUGUAACUUCAAACUCCUGUGCUCAAGUGAUCCUCCCACCUCAGCCUCCUGAGUAGCUGGAACUUGAGGCACAUACCACCACACCCAGCUAAUUUUUAAAUUUUUUGUAGAGAUAGGGUCUAGCUGUUACCUACACUGGUUUUGAACUCCUGGCCUCAAGCAGUCCUUCUGCCUUGGUCUCCCAAAGUGCUGGGAUUAUAGGUAUGAUCCACCACCUCCAGCCAAAAUCUCACUUUAAGUGGGGUCCCUAACUCCAGACAUGUGAUAAGCUGUGGUUCACAGGCAUAAAGAACAUCCAGCCUGGGGCCCCGGGGUCAGAGUUUUCCCUCGCAUUGUCCCCUGGGUCCUUCAUCCCUCCUAAUCUUGCAAACCAGCUGUCAAUUGGGUUGAGAUGGUAUCUCUUUCAUAGGGUCAUUAUGAGGAUUAAAUGACUUAAUAUAUGUAAAGCACUUAGCUUAAUGCCUGGCAGACAGUAAGGUAUGGAGUAAGUUGUAACCCUUAUUAUUAUUGCUGUUGCUGUUAGCAACAGAGUGAGGAAUGCUAGGAGUGACCAUGCCCAGCACCGAAUGAGGCCUUCAUAGCCUUGGGCUAAAAGAAAAAGAGCAGAAAGGUGAACACAGGGGAAGGCCUCAAUUUCAACACAGAUGCAUUAGACCAAGGACUCUGAACUCACUUUCCCUGGAGGUGGGGGUGCUAUCAGCUGCUUAAUGGAGCAUCAUGGAAAAUGUGGGACUCAAGGCCUGAAGGACUCCAUUCCUAAGAGAUGGGAGCAGGAGACAUGCUACGGAGUUUGAAUCUUGCCUAGCACAGGGAUUUCUGCCUGCUGGAAGGGCUCUGUCAGGGCCUAGUGGAAGCCCCUGCCUCAGUGGGGCAAACUGCCACUGGACACACCCAUCAUUCAUCAUCACCUCUCUGGGACAGUAGUAGCAGCCAGGCACCUCCAAAGAGCUUGACAACAGAGGAACCCGCUUCGGCCCCUCCUCUGAAGACAGGAUCCUGCGCUACUCCAACUCUGAACUGGUUCAAGGUGAGAGACGUCAUCCACAGAGGCCACAAAACCAAGAGGUGGAUGCCUCAUUGUUACUUCAUGCUGUCUGGGAGCAAAGAGAGGGCCUUAGGCACAAAAUCCUCCAGACCCGCAUCUGCCCCUUGGCUUUCUCAACCCUUCACUCUCCAACUUCUAUAAAUAACCUGUACAGUGGCCAGGCACCGUGGUUCACACCUGUAAUCCCAGCAUUUUGGGAGGCCAAGGCGGGCGGAUCACUUGAGGUCAGGAGUUCGAGACCAGCCUGGCCAACAUGGUGAAACCCCAUCUCUAACAAAAAUACGAAAAUUAGCCAGGUGUGGUGGCGGGCAUCUGUAAUCCCAGCUACUUGAGAGGCUGAAGCAGGAGAAUCACUUGAACCUGGGAGGCGGAGGUUGCAGUGAGCCGAAGUUGCACCACUGCACUCCAGCCUGGGCAACAGAGCAACACUCUGUCUCAAAAGAAAAGAACCUCUGCAGAAUGAGGGGAAGCAGGGAAGCAGGCAGGGGUGAACAAGAUGGCCAUGAAUUGAUAAUUACUGAAGUUGGGUGAUGGGCUCAUGGGGAUUUGUUAUUCUACUCUCUCUACUUUUUUGUGUUUGAAAGUUCAUAAUAAAUAAUGUUGCUCAAAGGAAGCUAUUAAUAGUUUGAGGCCAGGCAGGGUAAAGAGCAUCUCCUAGAUUUUUUUUUUUUUUUUUUUUUUUUUUUUUUUUUUUUUUUUUUAGAGAUAGGGUCUUGCUUUGUUGCCCAGGCUUGUCUCAAACUCCUGGCUUCAAGGGAUCCUCCCACCUCGGCUUCCCAAAAUGCUGGGAUUACAGGCACAAGCCACCACAUCCAACCUCCCUCAUAUUUGACUAAGAAGUCUCAUAAAUCUGAGAACACCUAGCAAGGAAUUAAGGCGAGGGUGUGGCACUGUUCUGGCUUCAGUCUAUCACCAGGCAGAGUCCACGCAUUCUUCCCAGGGAGAAAGAAGCAGUGACAGCUCUUGGGCUUUGAGGGAAAUGAUUCAGCGGGAGAAAGAAGGUGGAGAGGGGCUAAUAUGCAGAUACCAUUGCUGCAGGUGGCUCUGCCCCUAAGCACUGAGGAGGGCACUGGUCCCUCUGGCCCCACCCAGCCUUCACCCCAAGGUGAAGUACGCUUUCUCAGGUCCCCAAGGAUGGGUGGCCAGGUCCCCCACUGGGAGUGGAGGUCUCACUCCCUUCCUUGGGUUCUGACCUCCACAUUAUCUGGCUGUGAGGGUGACCUGCCUGGCUUUCCCCACCAAGUGCAGCUCCCCGCAGCUGAAAGCCACACUCUCAACACAGGACUCCUGAGAUCUGACACUGGCCAAUUCACACCCUGCUUGAAGCUGGCAUUUGAGAGGCCUUCAGGUUGACAACAGCAGCAACAAGUUUGCUGUUCAAAGUAGGCCAAGUCACGGCUUUGAGCGGCAUCAUUUGAAAAGUGCUGGGAUCAGCCAGGCGCAGUGGCUCACUCCUGUAUCCCAGCACUUUGGGAAGCCAACGCAGGUGGAGCACUUGAGGUCAGGAGUUCAAGAACAGCCUGGCCAACAUGGAGAAACCCCGUCUCUACUAAAAAUACGAAAAUUAGUCGGGUGUGGUGGCAGGCCUCUGUAAUCCCAGCUACUCGGGAGGCUGAGGCAGGAGAAUUGCUUGAACCCGGGAGGCGGAGGUUGCAGUGAGCUGAGAUCAUGCCACUACACUCCAGCCUGGGCAACGGAGUAAGACUGUCUCAAAAAAAGAAAAAGGAAAAAAAAAAGUGGUGGGGUUUGGGUGCAGUGUCUCACAUCUGUAAUCCCAGCACUUUGGGAGGCUAAGGCAAGAUCUCAUGAGGCCAACCUGGGCAACAUAACAGCAUGACCUCAUCUCUAUAAAAAAUUUAAUUUGGCUGGGCGCGGUGGCUCACGCCUGUAAUCCCAGCACUUUGGGAGGCCGAGGCGGGCGGAUCACAAGGUCAGGAGAUCGAGACCAUCCUGGCUAACACAGUGAAACCCCGUCUCUACUAAAAGUGCAAAAAAAUUAGCCAGGCGUGGUGGCAGGCGCCUGUAGUCCCAGCUACUCUGGAGGCUGAGGCGGGAGAAUGGCCUGAACCCAGGAGGUGGAGGUCGCAGUGAGCUGAGAUCGCGCCACUGCACUCCAGCCUGGGUGACAGAGCAAGACUCCAUCUCAAAAAAAAAAAAGAAAAAAAAAUUUAAUUAGCCAGGCAUGGUGACAGGUACCUGAAGUCCUAGUUACUCAGAAGGCUGAGGCAGGAGGAUCGCUUAAGCCCGGGAGUUUAAGGAUACAGUGAGUUAUGAUUGCACCACUUCGCUCCAGGCUGGGUGAUUCUCUAAAAAAAAGAAAAAAGAAAAAGAUGGGAGGAUGGGAGGCGGGGCUAGGGGACUGGGAAGGUCCCUCAACCCUUUCUACAUGCCUUACCCAGGGUAUCUCCCAUCAUGGCUGGUUACUGUGCUAAAAUUAUAAUUUUUUUUCUUUGAGACAGAGUAUCACUCGGUCACCCAGGCUGGAGUGCAGUGGUGCGAUCUCAGCUCACUACAACCUCCGCCUCCUGGCGGGCUCAAGUGACUUAUCUUCCCACCUCAGCCUCCCAUGUAGCUGGGACUAUAGAUGGGCGCCGCCAUGCCCAGUUACUUUUUGUAUUUUUUACCUAGGCUGGUAGUGUGCUAACAUUCUACCACUUGGGCAACAGUCUUCGGGGCUACAUACUGCCUUUUUUUUUUUUUUUGAAACAGAAUACCACUCUGUCGCCCAGGCUGGAGCGCAGUGGCACAAUCUCGGCUCACUGCAACCUCCGCAUCC
rnacentral:lncRNA from 1 species